GGCUCAAUAUAGUUGGCGACAAUACGCUCAUAUCAAGCAGCGAGGAAGUAGUCUUUUCGAAGCGCAAACCACUCGCUAAGCGUCUUGAAAGGUUCCAGGAUGUCAGGUCAUUUCGACCCAAACUAUGUCGAGCGGCGAGAACGCGAACGCCGAGAACGGGAAUGCUCGGGUUCUAACACGACUACGACCUUUUUCAACACUGGGGGAUACGCUCCACCUCCCCCACCGACACUCUACGAUGACUUCAGGCCUACCCCUCCUUCUUAUCCGAGCAAUGCCCCGCCGUACAUGGCCCCCAGUGCACCUCAGAUGCCAUACCCCGAGUCCUACAGGCCACCAGGCGGAUACUACGCGCCACCGCCGCAAUACGCGCCUCCGCCUCCCCCUUGCGGUUCUUAUGCUCCGCCACCCCCGCCAAUGUAGAAGUUCUCCCGUUCUUCACACCAAUUCAUCGAGUGGGCAUUUCCCGUUCUCUCGAGACCAUGUCGCGCUGCAACUGAACUGUCGGAGACGACCUCAGAAGAAGCUCCCUCCGCCGACGUUCCCCCCUCAGUUGGAGGGGGAGCGUCCGAGCUCUUAAGGGUCGCUCCUUCGAAGCUCGGACUCACCUUUGUGGGAGAAUAAACUAUCAGCGACUUUUACCAAGUUUCCUUUGCUGCGCUUAAAACA